rnacentral:lncRNA from 1 species
CUGGGCUACCAGACGCCAACUGUAAUAAAUUCAGCCAUUCAGUAAAUCAAUAUAUUCAGUUCAUAUUCUGUCCAAUCCAUGACGCUUCUUUAAAGAUAUCUGAAAAUAUACAACAGAGAGCAGAAAAUAUUCUCAAGGGUGGGAUAGGGUGGGUUUUGUGUUCCUUCAGUUCAAAUCACGCAAUGAACAAAUCACGAAAAGCAUGCAAUUUUAUACCAAAUAAAAGCGGGAAAACCGCUUACGAAAUUAUGUAGGUAAAUGAAAGACGCUCAAGUCCUUCAAAAUUAAAGAAAAGAUAACUCUAGUUUAUCAGACGAUAAUCUUAAUUUAUUAAAUUGAUUUAAUGCUUAAUGAUUAAAUCUUAUUAUUAAAUAUUCGAAAGAAAC